UGCAGAGCAAAUACAAAACAUUUACAAUCUGAGUAAAUGUUGUGGAUUUUAUUUAGUUUUUACAGCGCUGCGCGAUGAGCCUCGAGACUCCGCGUGGUAUUUUAACAGUUCACCACUAGAGGGCAACACAGCCUCACUGCAUUUUAGAACUGCUCGUUCGUGUUCAGUUUGUUGUCCUUCCACUGCGAGAUGAAGGCCUCUCCCCUUGCCAUCACCGCCCAGCGCCUCCUCGACACACGAUCCAUCUCCUCGGUGUCCGACCUAUCCCCUGGCUGCCCGUCCGCCACUAUCCAGAGCACGGUUGGCUAUGUACGCCACCGUCUGCGCACGAAGCUGCCCCCGCAGGGACCGGGCGCGUUUGAACUCCAAGGCGGCGCGAAAAGAAAUAAAAUCACCGUGAAGACGUUUGGCGCGAUGAGCGGGGUUCGACAUUUUGUCUUUAUUACGUGAUUGUCUUUAUUAGUUCAAAUUAAGAAGACCUUAGGUGGUGGUGGUGGUGGUGGAGGGGGG